UGACUGGCAGCAGCUCCCGCAGCUCCAGCCCCAGCCUGCUCCAUCAGGGAGCACAGGGCCCCCUCGAGCUCCUGCACUCCUGUCUGAGGACUGGUUUUGGAGGAUGGGGCAGGGGUUUCUCCCUGCCAGAGCAAUCCUUUUCUUACUGCUUCCAGCUCAGGGUGAUGGUGAGAGGGAAGUGGAGGUCCAGCUCCAAGGGCUGAGGCUGCAGAGGCUGGAGCUAUGAGCCAUGAGAAGGAAAGUCACCCACACUGUGUGUGAAACCUGCCCUGCUUGUGGUUAUUCCAUUCCUGUGACUGGAGGGGAUGAAGAGAAAUGCACAGAUGUGCAGGAGCUCUUUGGAUCUGCAGUCUCAGGGGGGAAAGAGUUCGGCCUUGGCAAGGAAAGGGUCCCAAAUCCUGCAUUUUCUUUACCCACCUCCAAUGGAUUCAUCAGGUUCGAUCAGCAUCCCAGGGGCAGGGUGGAGAGGCAGCAGGGUCAGGGUGGGAGUCCACAGCCCAUCAGGAUGGGCCUGACGGGCAGAGCCAGGAGUUCCUCCAGCAGCUGUUUCUUCAGGAGCCCCUUAAUGUGGAUGUGUAAAUCCCUGGAGCACGGCAGCGCCGAUGAAUGGAGCCAGCUCUGCACCUCUAAUGACCGGAGCUGCCAGCUCAGCACUCCCAUUACUCCUUGAUUACCAUUUAUUUACUUCGGGGAGGUGCCUGGAGAAUCAAAACAAGGCCAAAGUCCUGGGCAAAAUCCCGCCAGGGCAGGUCCAUCCCAGGAGAGCUCCGGAGAGCUGCGGGAUUGUGUGGGACCAGCGGGGUGUCCUGGCAAGGGCUGGGCUCUUCAUCCUCCUCGAUCUAGGGUCCCUCCCAGCUCUGGGUAUUCUCUAACUCUACAAUUCCCUUUGGAAAUGGGAAAGAUCCACCCCUUUCCGACUGAUGGACAGAGGGUGGAAAAGUGGAAUAUCGUGAUUUCAGCAUGAGAAGGAUAUGGAAGAAUAUGGAUAACCAAGGAUGCAUCAAGCUGAAGGCAGCAGACUUCCUGCCCAGGGAAAAUUUCCUGCCUUGCCGGUGCCCGGAGCAAGAUACAGUUGAAUAAUUCCCAGUAAAUUAUUUUCGUGACAAAUCCAGCCUUUUCUCUCUUCUCCUGGAACACACACGAACUAAUUGAGCUUUCUUUGUGCUGGAAAUGAUUCCACACCUCGGCCGGUGAUUUUGAGGCUUUGUUUUUCACCUGUGUGAGCUGAUUUUGAGAAGAGACCUCCUGUCAAUGCUGGAUAUUUGCAUCCAGAUUAUUGUGAAUUGUUCUCAUUGCCUUCCUUUCUCUCCUUUGACGGGAAAACAAACCCACCUAGAAGCGACAGCCAGGGAAGCAGCAGCAGAGAGUGGCUGCCAAAUAGUUCCUGCCUGAGCUCUAAAGGAUUUGCUGAGGCCACCGCACUCAAAGCCUCCCCAGUCACACAAAGGCCGUGCUGCCAAAGGCUAAUAAAGAUGCCUAAGUGGUGAGUGUAUUAUAAUUACCUAUCAGCUCGUUUGCAAAAGCACCAGCAGUUAAAAGACAGCAAAUGAAACGAUCCCGGCCUUCCCCGGCUUCGCACAUAAUGAACAAACACAUUGCCCAUGGCAAGCUCACAGGAACAGAUCUUUCAUUACGAUAAAAGAGUCUUAACCUUGACCAGCCGCUCUGCUCUGCCUUCAUGGCAGUUGUUCCACAACUCAAACAGUUUGUUUUCCAGCCCUUUGAUUCCCACAAAAUGCUACAAAAUCAAGCAUUUCUUAUUCGAUAGAUGCACACGAGGUUUUUUUUUGGGUUUUUUUUCGUAUUUCUUCAGAUCUUCCUUGCGCAGUUUAGAGCAGAAAGUGUCUGGCAUAAAUUCCUGAUUGCAUUAUUAAUGUGGAAAAGGGAACAUCUGAAGUUAAUCUAUUCCACUAAUGGGUGCUAUAUAAUACAUUAAGUCAGGUUAAGCGUGUGAUAUAAUAAAGAUCUGCCGGGUGAGAUAUUCUGAGAUUACUGAUUUAAGCAUAAUGGUUAUUUUGGUCAAUGG